rnacentral:rRNA from 1 species
UGGGGAAUAUUGCACAAUGGGCGCAAGCCUGAUGCAGCAACGCCGCGUGAACGAUGAAGGUCUUCGGAUCGUAAAGUUCUGUUGCAGGGGAAGAUAAUGACGGUACCAUAGGAGGAAGCCCCGGCUAACUACGUGCCAGCAGCCGCGGUAAUACGUAGGGGGCGAGCGUUGUCCGGAAUUACUGGGCGUAAAGGGUUCGCAGGCGGCAUGGCAAGUCCGAUGUAAAAGGCGAAGGCUUAACCUUCGUAAGCAUCGGAAACUGUCAAGCUUGAGUGAAGGAGAGGCAAGUGGAAUUCCUAGUGUAGCGGUGGAAUGCGUAGAUAUUAGGAGGAAUACCGGUGGCGAAGGCGACUUGCUGGACUUCAACUGACGCUGAGGAACGAAAGCGUGGGUAGCAAACAGG